rnacentral:misc_RNA from 1 species
UAGAGAUUAAAUAAUAAUUUUUUUUUAAAUUAUUCACUUUAAUGGGCUUUCAUUGUGUAGCUCCCUGAUUAUUACUUGAUACCAUUGUACUUUCAUUGAAUAAAAAAAUAACUAUAUAAUAUAAUUAUCAUUUUAGUUAGAUAUUGUUUAAUAAAAAUAAUAAUAAUAAUUCUUUAUUAUUUAUAAACAUAUAGGUGAAUUGCUGUUCUAAGCAUAUGAAAUCCCAAGUUACACAAGUAGUAGUCAAAUUUUGUUUGAAUAAUCUUUGGCAUGUUAA